AUUGAACGCUGGCGGCAUGCCUUACACAUGCAAGUCGAACGGUAACGGGCCUUCGGGUGCCGACGAGUGGCGAACGGGUGAGUAAUGCAUCGGAACGUACCUUUCAGUGGGGGAUAACGUAGCGAAAGUUACGCUAAUACCGCAUAUUCUGUGCGCAGGAAAGCAGGGGAUCGCAAGACCUUGCGCUGAUUGAGCGGCCGAUGUCAGAUUAGCUAGUUGGUGAGGUAAAGGCUCACCAAGGCGACGAUCUGUAGCGGGUCUGAGAGGAUGAUCCGCCACACUGGAACUGAGACACGGUCCAGACUCCUACGGGAGGCAGCAGUGGGGAAUUUUGGACAAUGGGGGCAACCCUGAUCCAGCCAUGCCGCGUGAGUGAAGAAGGCCUUCGGGUUGUAAAGCUCUUUCGGCCGGGAAGAAAUCGCAUGGGUUAAUACCCUGUGCGGAUGACGGUACCGGCAUAAGAAGCACCGGCUAACUACGUGCCAGCCGCCGCAGUAAAAC
rnacentral:rRNA from 1 species